rnacentral:rRNA from 1 species
AUUGAACGCUGGCGGCAGGCCUAACACAUGCAAGUCGAGCGAGCGGCGGACGGGUGAGUAAUGUAUGGGGACUGCCCGAUAGAGGGGGAUAACUACUGGAAACGGUAGCUAAUAACGCACACUAUCGGAUAACCUAUAUGGGAUUAGCUAGUGGGUGGGGUAAUGGCUCACCUAGGCGACGAUCCCUAGCUGGUCUGAGAGGAUGAUCAGCCACACUGGGACUGAGACACGGCCCAGACUCCUACGGAGGCAGCAGUGGGGAAUAUUGCACAAUGGGCGAAAGCCUGAUGCAGCCAUGCCGCGUGUAUGAAGAAGGCCCUAGGGUUGUAAAGCACUUUCAGUCGGGAGGCGGUACCGACAGAAGAAGCACCGGCUAACUCCGUGCCAGCAGCCGCGGUAAUUC